rnacentral:lncRNA from 10 species
CCUCUGUCUCAUCAAUAAUUUGCUCUGAGGAAAUCAUCUGCCAUGUCAUGAGGAUGCUGAAGCAGACCUAUGGAGAGGUCCGUGUGGAGGGGACCUGAGGCCUCCUGCCGACAGCCACGUAAGAGCACCAAGGAGCGGACCCUGUAGGUCCACUUAAGCCUUCAAAUGAUGGCAGCCCUGGCUGACAUCCUGGCUACAACCCCAUGAGAGACCUGAGCCAGAACCAUCCAGAGGAGCCACUCCCAAGUUCCUGACCCCAAGAAACUGUGAGGAAAUAAACAUUUAUUGUUUUAAGUCACGACAUGUUGGGGCAAUUUGUUAUACAGCAAUAAAAAGCAACUAACCUACUUUCUGUGGCAGCCAAAUAACGUGCCCCCCUCCAACAUGUUGACAUGUGAAUCAUUAGAACUUGUGAAUGUGCUACCUAACCUAGCAAAAGGGGCUUUGCAGGUAUGAUUAGGUUAAGGAUGUGAGGUGGGGAGGUUGUCUUGGAUUAUCUAGGUAGGUCCAAUGUGGUCACAAGUAUCCGUGUAGGUGAGAGAGUGAGAGAGGGAAC